AGCCUUCUUGCCAUGUAAUGUCCUGCACUGCCUCAGGGCUCUGCUGUGUCCCCAUGAGCAAAAAGGCUCUAACAAGUCUACAGCCACACCAGCCUAAACGCGCCCACUCUUAUCUGAUCUUGGAAGCUAAGUGAGGUUCGACCUGGUUAGUACUUGGAUGGGAGAAGGCUCUGACCAGAUGUGGCCCCUCAACCUUGGACUUCUCAGCCUCCGUAACUGGGUAUGAGGAAACACUGUUUACGCAUCAUGAAGAGUCUAGUCGCUUACCAACACACGUUAGUGCCAGCAGUGUCCACCUUUCAUCAUAACAACCAAAAAUGCCUCCCUUGUUCAAUUCAGAGAGACCAUAUUCCAGCAGAAACAGAAAUGCCUCAGAUUCUUAACGCUUUAGUGAAGUUGGAUCCACAUUUUGAUCAUUGCAAAUAUUAGAAACAACUUACAUGUUCAACAAGGUAAGAUUGGUUAAAAAAAAUCAGCACAAAUACAACAAAAUACUAUCAGGUCAUUUAAAAAUGUGAAAGAAUGAAAUUUAAGAGCAAAGAAGAAUCUCAUGCUACAGAGAUUUCUCUUACAAAGAAAGUCAUCUAAAUUCUCAUGGAUAGAAUGCAAUAGAUUAAUUAGGAAACAGUAUUUAUAGAAACAGGAUUGUUACUCGUUAAAUUGCCAUAAAAUUAGAACAAGAACAAACACUAGCUUAAAAGAGAAAAGUGCCUUUUCCUGAGGACAUGUGAUACAAUGAUGGCAUUUACAGAAAAAUGAGUUAAUGAUACUGAGGGACUGGCAAAAAGAAAGGAGGCCAUUUUCAUGGAACCAAGGAAAACUAUAUUCAAAGGUGGUAUCUUUUCUCUGCUAUUGGUUUUAUAAUCAUAUACCUAUAGCUACACUUAAAAAUUAAAAUACUUACAGAAAAUAUAACUUUGAUAUUGAUAGUCUGAAACUCUCUACCCCAACCUCUUCUCUUAAUGGAUAAUUAUGUUUAAGAUGGUUUUUUAAAUAACGUGAGGUUUUUUAUUAGUUAAGAACACAAGGAGCAUGUUAGAAUACACUGCAUGUUGUGAAGUUCAGAAAGCCUGUUAUAAAAGAGCAGUAUCUUAUUGCCUUUUCAUAAACAUACGAAUGUUUAAAAUUCAUAUUUAUAUAACAGGAAAAAAGACUAUUAGGAAAUGUUUGAACAUGAAAAUGUAUCAAAAUGUUAAAAGUGGUUUGCUG
rnacentral:lncRNA from 1 species